UAAUACCUACGGGACGCAGCAGUAGGGAAUCUUUGGCAAUGGACGAAAAUCUGACCGAGCAACGCCGCGUGAGUGAAGAAGGUUUUCGGAUCGUAAAACUCUGUUGGUAGAGAAGAACGUUGGUGAGAGUGGAAAGCUCAUCAAGUGACGGUAACUACCCAGAAAGGGACGGCUAACUACGUGCCAGCAGCCGCGGUAAUACGUAGGUCCCGAGCGUUGUCCGGAUUUAUUGGGCGUAAAGCGAGCGCAGGUGGUUUAUUAAGUCUGGUGUAAAAAGCAGUGGCUCAACCAUUGUAUGCAUUGGA
rnacentral:rRNA from 1 species